ensembl:lncRNA
CACAAUCUUACAGUCUAGAAGUUCACUAGGUUGAUUCUUUCCCUUUCCAACCUAAGACAUGGUAAUUCAGACUCCCAACAAGAAGUUGAAAUGUGAAUUCAAGUCAAAAUAUUUCAUUCAGAUGCGUUUAAAGUAAUUUGUGUUUCCCCAAUUGAUUGCCAAAUUGCUAGGAAAUUCUAUCAGCAAUACUUUAUUCCCUCAGCUCUUUUCCUCCCCCACAAAAAUUACACUAAAGUCAGGGCUGAUAGGUGCAAUUUAAAGGAAGUAUUUUUCUGUAAAAUGCAAGCAAACCCUCAUUCAAAUGAACACUCCAGUUUAUGCUCCAUAAACAAUUCUGACAUCAAAAUUAGUAUGCGUUCCUAAGAAACACUGUUUACUACAGUAACAGUGGAAUGCAGUCUUGUAAUGCUGGCUUUCUUAACCGAAGAAAGAAAAGACGAAUAUGGUGCAGAUAACUGUUGUAGCUUCUGGGGAGUAUCUGAUGUAUUCUGAAAUGCCUGUGGUGUGUAGGGGACCUGUACAGAAGAAAUAAUACAGCAUUCUUCUGCUCUGAGAUCAGCAGAGAAGUAAGAAAUAAGCAGCCAACUCAUGCUGACCCUUAAAAAAAGGCAGAUCUUUCAGAGAGUUCAAGAUGAAAAACAUGGCAAACCAAAGGGUGGCUGUCCUCAGCCUGAAGGUGCAGCACUGUAGAUGGUACAAUGUCUUUGGCUUCUGUCUGAUCAAUGGGUGUUGAAAGUCACUUCAGAAGGUACAUGGAAGAGUCCAGGGAUUAUCAGAAAAAGACUUACAAGAAAUUUCCUGUGAAGAUACAAGAGGAAAGGAAAAUGGACUGUGGCCACUUGUCCAAACACAGUAACAAGGACCGAUCCCACAUAUUUCAACUCUAUUUGCUAGGCACAUUCACAUGUUCUAACCUACUUCACUCAUGUGCUUACAUUACUUUAUUAUUACUUAUUCUCACUGGAAAGCAUACUGAUAGUAGAAAAUAGACUUUGCUAACUGGGAGAACAGUAGUAAUUAUUCCAUAGACACAUUGUUUUAAAAUCAUAUUUAGAUAAAUUCAUAACUAGAAUGAUUUUUUUUCUAAAGCAUAAAAGCUGUGCACUUAAUAGCUGGAUCAUUGUAUUUGUAAUGGAAACAAUUAAUAUUGCAUUUUAGUGUCUGCUUUUGUAUUAAGAACCAACAGAAAGAUCCAGGAAGAAAAAGAUUAGAGCCUAUCUGUAUUUUAAAAAAGCAACACAUGGUAUAAAUAUAAAUUAUUGUUUCCACCUUGUCUGACUGGGAGGUUCUGAAAGCAUUGUGCAAAUUAAGUCAAGUGAUUUUCAAAACAUGAGAGAUGCUAUUUGUACAUUACCAUCAGAAGAAACCAUAUAUGUGGAUUGAUUGUGUACUAUGAAUAGCAGUAAUAGCAUUUACACAGCAUUUCCAGCCAUGAAAAAAAUACUAAUUAAAAAAAAAAUUGCAAAGGGGGAAAAUGAAGUAAUGGCUUUUUUUUUUUUUUUUUUUUUUUUUUUUUUUUUUUUUUUUUUAAAUCAUAGUUUUUCACACCAUUAUCUAUGCUUGAGAAUAAAACUGUUCACUGCCUUUAGGCA